rnacentral:tRNA from 1 species
UCCGAUAUGGUCUAGUGGCUAGGAUUUGCCGCUCUCAUAGAGAGUAUCUGAUUCACCCAGUGAUUCAGAGCACCGGCAAGGCCCGGGUUCGAUUCCCGGUGUCGGAA